UCAAACUUGGUCAUUUAGAGGAAGUAAAAGUCGUAACAAGGUUUCCGUAGGUGAACCUGCGGAAGGAUCAUUAACAAAAUAUACAUACGAUGUGCAGCAACUGCAAUCUCUGCGUCAGCAGAGGUUGCAGUUGUUGCACAGAGUCGUGCGUGCAUUACUAUUGUAAUGCAUGUGCGGAUGCAUUACUGCUGUUGCAGUCUUGCUCACGCAAGCCAUCAACAGUGUGUAUGCAUCAAAUCCUGAUCGAAUACAGCUGCCUUGCUGCGCAAGUCAUCUGUACUCGAUCAAAGCACGAUAUCAGUUGACAACAAUCGACAACCAUAUACACUUUUAACAAUGGAUCUCUAGGCUCUUGCAUCGAUGAAGAACGCAGC
rnacentral:misc_RNA from 1 species